UACAAUGGGAGUGCCCUAAUAGCGAUGGUGGGCAAGAACUGUUUCGCCAUUGCGAGUGAUCGCCGACUUGGUGUCCAGCUACAAACUAUCGCCACUGAUUUCCAGCGAAUCUACAAAGUACACGAUAGGCUCUUCAUCGGUCUCUCUGGCCUAGCCACGGACGCUCAAACUCUGUAUCAGAGGCUUGUUUUCCGUCACAAAUUGUAUCAACUGCGAGAAGAGAGGGACAUGAAGCCUGAGACAUUUGCUA
rnacentral:misc_RNA from 1 species